GGUUGACUCUGAGAGUGACGUCGGCACAAUACCGGCAAGUGAAGAUGUAAGUGAUAAGUUGCUCAGAGCUACACAGCUUCAAUUCUAUCGAGAAGAAAUAAUGACAGCUGAGAAGAGGCGACAGUUAAUGGAUAUUGAGAAAAAGUUCUUUAAAAAUGCUGAGAAUUUUUUCCAAAGGAACGAACGUGACGAUGAUAUUGAAUGAGAAAAGGGUUGAUUAGAUAGAACAGCUUAUUGGACCAUUUGACUGAUCAUUAACUGAAAUCAAAGCAAACAGACUGUCAAAUGAUUGUGAACGUGAUGGUUUGGAACUUGCUGAUUGAUGCUUACAUUUCGAAUACUUAAUUUCUUUUUUAGACACGGCCUUCCGGUUAUAGCUAAACUUCUUCUUCUCAUCAUGAUUAUAUUUAUGUUCAAUAUAUUGCUUAAACCUGAUUUGUAAUAAAGACAGUGCAUGGAAUUGAAAUCUGUUCUUUCUUUUAAGGGAAAAUAUUCAACGCUUUAAUGGCAAUGCUAUAUGUAACGGAAACACGUCAGCUAGGGAAAAGAUGUUUCAUUUUUUAGUUUAUCGGAAUGUGGAUUAUCAGAGUUGGCAUAUAAACUUUUAAAACAAUUAUAAAUGAGAACUGGCAUUUACCCAAUUUCAUGAAAACGACAGGGGGCGGGCGCGUAUUUUUCAUCAAAUGUUUCGAUACAAAAUAUAUAGUCCGUGCUUUCAGAUAGUUCUCAUGCAGUGAUCGGAAAGUAAAAGUGAAUAUCAAAAACAGUAUACAAGGAAGGUAAUGGUUAUUGGGCCCUACACUUUUUAAUGACAUAUUUCUACGUAAGAACAUUCAAGUUGCCAUCGCCGAAUAUAUUUUCCGUUUUCGCGAUGGGCUUUUCAACUCUAUUUAGAUAUAUUCUGACGCGCAAUUUCUUGUAGAUAUCUCCUAAAGUAAUUGAAAAUGUAAAAUUACAAAGAGCAACACUUUCAAAAAAAUAAUGCUUAAAAGUUAUCAAAUUAUUAUUAUAGCACUUUUCCCUCAUGAAGUUAAACGGGAGAGUAUGGAUACGUUAAAAGGCGUCCAAUAAGUAAGCGCAACUCGACUGACUGUUUUAACACAAAUCAAUUUACUUUAUUCACAAAGAUUAAAAAAAACCCGUUAAUUUCGCCGAACCUUUUCUCGAUAUGCUUAAAGAUUCCGUAACACAAUUUUUUCAUGGUUUUAUUUCAUAAAUAUGAUGCUCAAAUUAAGAUUUGUCCGUAUUGUAAGUUCCAAUGAGCAUUAUCUAUAAAGAUAUUACCCAAUUUAACAUUUCAUGUAAAUAAAGGGAGGUAAUUAGAAAUUUAUUUUCUAUAAAUUCUAAGUCAAAUUUUCCAAUAAGAAAUGAAUGCAAGUAAUUUAUUGAUUAAAAUAUUUGCAGUACACAUUUUACAUAUUCUUCGAUGUUUGAAAAUUGUUUUAUUUGCAUUAUUAUUUUCAUAUAUAAUUUUUUGUAAGUGUGGUAUACAGACAGGCCUUUUGCUGGCACCAACAACCCUUUUCAGGGCUAACCUUACCUAUUGUCAAAAUCUCAUUGACUGCCG